GCUUGUCUCAAAGAUUAAGCCAUGCAUGUUCAAGUAUAGCAAGUGUACAGUGAAACUGCGAAUGGCUCAUUAAAUCAGUUAUAAUUUAUUUGAUAGUGAAAUUGUACAUGGAUAACCGUGGUAAUUCUAGAGCUAAUACAUGCUAUAUGCCCGGCUUCUGGCAGGGCUGUAUUUAUUAGAUACUAAACCAGUGUCGCAAGACAUUGUGGUGAAUCACAGUAACUGAUCGAAUCGGCGCGCAAGCGGCGAUAAAUCAUUCAAGUUUCUGCCCUAUCAGCUUUCGAUGGUAGUGUAUUGGACUACCAUGGCAGUCACGGGUAACGGAGAAUUAGGGUUCGGUUCCGGAGAGGGAGCCUGAGAAACGGCUACCACAUCUAAGGAAGGCAGCAGG
rnacentral:rRNA from 1 species